UCGGCUCGUUUAGCCAAAGCUCGACUCGAGCUCGGCUCGUUUGCACCCCUACCUGCAAUACAUGCUAAAUGGCCACGGGAUGGUGGUAGUGUUACUGAAAUUUUGAUCAAACAGGAUAAUGCAAAACCACAUAUUAAUCCCACUGAUCCGGUAUUUAUUGAAGCUGCUUCUAGAGAUGGAUUUGAUAUUCACUUGUCAUUUCAGCCUCCUAACAGUCCGGACAUGAAUGUUCUUGACUUGGGAUAUUUUAGAGCUAUACAAUCCUUGCAACAUCAAGAAGCACCCUUGUCAAUUGAUGAGCUAAUUCUUGCUGUGGAAAAGUCAUUUGAUGAAUUAUCAAGUGAAAGUCUAAACAAUGUUUUCUUAACAUUGCAAUCAUGUAUGGUAGAGGUGAUGAAAAAUCUUGGGGGAAAUAACUAUAAAGUGCCACACAUUGGGAAGCACCAUUUAAUGAAAGAAAGUUGUCUUCCACUGCAAAUAGAAUGUGAAAAAGAACUUGUGAAUCAAGUUCUAAGUCAUAUGCAAGCAUGAUUAUCUUCAUUGGACAGGUAAGAUUUUAUAAAGCUUUUUUUUUUAAAGAUUUUUUUAUCUCUAAUUUCUUGUGUGUAUGGUUGUUUAAACUAACUAGUGUUCCUUAUUUUCAUAUUUGUAGGUACUUAAACUUUACUAAUCAUGUGUUUUGAACAAAAUGAUGGUUGAAGUCAAGCAAUCCAACCCUUUUGAUUUUGUGGUGCAAGCUUUUGAUUGGGCAAAGAAUAUAGAAGCACUUUUAUGUACUAGUGGUUUUUCAUUGACUGCUUUUAUUUCACUUUACAAGAUUUUAGAAUAGCUCAGUCAAGUUAGCUUGACGUUAGUAGUAGUAGUGCUGAUUUUUGUACAAAA